GCCCGAAGAACAGACGGCCCGGCCCACAUGAAGCGGAGCAUCGGCUCGACGCGGCGGCUUGAAGGGUCGAUCUCUCGGCGUAAUGUGAGAGAGCUUUCGAUGGGCUUCUCGACUAAACGCCCCGAGGAAACGACUCCACGAGACAACAUGGGCUUAUCGGCCCAGCGAGUUAAAGCCCACAGAGACGACACAAACUAGGUCACGGAAGAGCGUGAGGUCAGCUAUAAAAGUGGAAGGAAAGGCAACGUAGGGGGGAUCUGAAAUCACUAAUACACACUGGGCGGCUAAAUUAGGGUUUUACCUUUGUUAUCUCGCUUUGUUGUAUCUCUUCGGUAAAGACUUCGAGGCUCCGGUACCGUUCCUU
rnacentral:lncRNA from 1 species